UGUCCUAGACAUGUUUCAGAGAUGCAGUGUAUGUUAGAAAAAUCAACAUGUUGGUUGGAGUUUUCACAACUGUUUCUCUCUCUUUUUUUUUCUCUCUAGAAUUAAACUCUUCAAUUCAACUUUUGAGGAUGGUGCCCCAUAAUGCUUGAAAUGCUACUCAGCUCAAUGUGCUGGGACAGAUAGAGCUGACACAACAUGUAUAACGCUUGUGAAAAUGCCAGAUCAAGAGAAUGGAGCGACGGUGACGGAUACAGCUGCCAUAGUAUGGCUCACUGGGAAGGUGAUCCCCCAGCUGGAGAAAGACAGUACCUCACCCAACAGGCAGGGGAACACCAGUGGCUGAACCGUGAGGAUGAAGCUGCCGUGUGGGCCCACUACAACUCCCAUCAACAAAACUCUCAGAUGGACUUCCGUGGACAUCGGACACAAGAGACCCAGCCGCCUCCUCUGUAUCAUCAGGACCAUCACAGAAGUCAGAACAUAAGGGAUAGGCCCAAUCUCUAUGGACCCUUGAGAGAACAGGCACCUCCUAAUGUAACCUUACACUGCAGUGGAGAGAGAACAGAAACGUGGGCUAACCAUGAACCCCACUUCCCCAGCAAUGACUUUUUACCCCCACUCAACGUCGAAAGAGGGCAUGAGGAUAUUUCCCAUCACCAUAACACCGACCAGGAUUAUCUGGUUGGUCGUGGAGUGAAUCAUAACAAUCUCCAUUACUUGGAAAGCAAAUGGCAGAUGUUCGAUCCCACCCAUUCCAAUGGACAUGCUAGAGGACAUUGCAAUGUACAUUCAAGGGGAUAUUUUACUGAAUGCUCAAGGGGACGUUCUAGGGGUGGUUCCAGUGGAAAUUCUAGGGGUGGUUCUAGUGUAUGUUCUUGGGGUGGUUCCAGGGGUCGGUCUAGUGGACGUUCUCAGGGUGGUUCCAGGGGUCGGUCUAGUGGACGUUCUCGGGGUGGUUCCAGGGGUCAGUCUAGUGGACGUUCGAGGGCCCAUUCCAAAGCAGCCAGCCAUGGUAUACUAGGACCUAGUGUUCCUUCCCAAACCUCUGUCACCACUGACCAGCAAUAUGCUCCCUCUCCUCCCAAACCUCUCACUGAGACACUUCAGGAAAAACCUCCUGAUAAACAUAAGAUCUCACUCAAUGAAAUACAGGACUGGCUCCACAGUGUUUUAAGAUCUAAAAAUGGACCCAUAAAUGGGAACAACUCAACACAAGACCCCUCCCAGGCACAACAAUUCAGCACAGAGAAGAUGGAUAUUUUACAAGGAGGCAAAAGGCACCUACAUAGUAACACCAAAGACAACCAGGCGAGGCCCCCUGAGAGGUUUAGUCCUGAGGACUCCACUAUACGGCUGGAGAUUAAGUCCACCCCCAGGUGCAUGACCCUGACGGCAGUCGCCACCACUCCGCCCCCUGUGGCUAUUGUCCCUCCAAUGGGUCCACAGCAGUCCCCAGAGCCAAUGGAGACAGAGAAUACAGGCAAUGAGCUGCCAUUUAAGAUUUUACGGGCCUGGUCCAUCAACGAACAACAAGUGGAAAGCCUGUGGGAAAGAGCUAAAGAUGAUGCAAGUUCUCUCUCUGUCCGAAAUGAGCCGGUUCAAGUUGAGAGUUUUAUGGAGUAUGAUAAGCCUGUAGAUGCAUCUGCAACAAGUUCACUGGCAUCUACUGGAGAGGACAAUGAUGAGGUCCUUCAGGUCAUCACACAGACGGACAAGAGUUCACCUUCACCAUUUGUCCACACCAUCCCUCAGGCAACUGAUAUUGUACGCAACGGAGGUACCCAGACAAUCGUGGAAGUUAGCUCCAACGGCGCAGAUGAGAGAUCUCUUGUUCUGUCCACAAUUGCUGAAGUUCAGUUCAAGUUACGUACGCUGCAGCAACUGGUUACUUAUCGGGAGAAUGCAGCAACAAUCACAGAGGCAAAGGAUGGUUGUCUAGAAGCCAUAUUGGAGCAGUAUUGGGGCGGGGAAACCUCUAACCUGGUAGAAGCUUUAAAAGAUAAAAGGGAUAAGGAAAUCAUGCGAGAUGUGUCUGCCUGGGCCGCAGAGGAUGAGGAAGCAGUGGUUCUCUUUGCAGUCAGUGGUAUAUCACUGGAGGAAGUGGUCGAGAAGUUUCCCAUUCCAGCGCAUGUUGACAGCUCUUCCCAAGUGGGUUACAGGUCAUCCUGGUUAAAUGUCAAUGAGAAGCUGAAUGACAUUGACAAAGAAUCUGGAAGAGCUUGGUCUCUCUGGUUCAUACCAGAUAAAGCAGAGGAGAGUUCCAAAGUUGUUGGGGGAGUCAAAAUGGAUGACACCUUCCACAGCAAGAUGGAGACUGUGGAAUUUCCUGCACGACAACCUGUUGUAACAACAGGCUCAGACCUCACAACAAACAUAGACCUCAUGAUGGUUGCAGACUCCUCAACAGACACAGACCUCCCAACAGAUGCAGACUUGGAGACCGAACCCCUUUCCCCAAUGAUUUUGACCGUCCUCACACCAGAGGAUGCUGUGAAACUGCUUGCUGAAACAGAGGCACCAGGCGCAGACCUCACAACAGACACAAACUGCCCGACAAAUGCAGACCUCACAACCGACUCAGACACAGACCCCCUUUCCCCAAUGCAUUUGACCGUCCUGACAUCUGAGGAUGCCAUGAGACUGUUUUGCCAGAUCGAAAAUGGCUCUGACCUCCAACUCGGGUCCCAUGAACCAUGCUCUGAAGACAAAGACGAGACAAAGACAAAGCAACAAGAGAAUAUAGAAAGUGGCAGCUUAGAUAAGUCCUGCUAUUGUCCUUGUAUUAUUGAAACUGACAAUGGGUUUGAAAGUGGCCUAUGCACCAGUUGUCAGAGGGAGAAAGGACUGCAGCAAGGUACAAGAUGCUUAACAAUCGCUCAAUGCUUUACCCUGUUAGAUACAAGCGACAAUUCAGAUCAGGAGACAGAAGAGGUCCCUAAGGACUCUGGGGGGAAGGCGACUGGGGACAAUCAAUGCAGGGACAAGAAGCAGAUACAAUCAACUGAAGAAGAGGGUGAUGACAAUCAAUCCUGUGACAAUAAGACAGAGGGAGAAAUGCAGCAAUGUACAGGUGUCAUACCGAUCACUGACUUUUUAUUCUGGUCAGAUACAAUUGAGGAUUCAGAUCAGGAGACAGAGGAGAACCCUAAUGAACAACAUGCUCAGAUUGAGGCUCAUGCUUCUAAUGUUAAAAGGACAGAGCCUGAAACUGAUGCCAAAGCACCCUGUGAGUCAGCCCAAGAACAUACUACCCAAAGUAAAGUCAGUCCUGGUUCUGAGGAUAGGGAAAUGCCGCAAGAGAAGGACCAAGACUGUAGGACGAGUACAUUACCAAUUCCCACGUUUGAAAACCCCUCUAAGUUAAGAGCUAACAUCAUAGCAGACAAGUGGUGUUCACCUGUAGAGGACUGUGGUUCACCUGCAGAGAAGUAUGACAAAGUUGCUGACUUUGUCCCUCAAUACAAAACCUGCAACUCAAAGAAAAAUGGAAAAGAAAAAAUGGAAAAGGAGGAAACCCUCCAUCCAACAUCAUCUGACAGACAAAAGCCCAAGAAACGCCAUGGGAGAGCAGAGAGAGGACAGUCACCAUCCCAACCCCCUAAGAGCUCUGGGGUGAAGGCAACUUUGAAUAAUCAACGCAGGGACAAGAAGCCACAUGCGUCACACAAGAGGAGACAUUUGACUGAGAGGGAUGAAAGUCGAUGCAAAGACAAGAAGAGGGGAUCAUCAACUGAGAAAGAGCGUGAGGGCAGUCAAUCCAGGGACAAUAAGCCACCGAAGAGGAGACAUUCAACUGAGAAAGAGAGUGAGGACAAUCAAAGUAGAGGCAAGAAGGGGAGACUUUCAAUGGAACAACUGGGUGAGGCCAGUCAAUCUAGGGACAAGACGUCGCAGAAGAGGAGAAAUUCAACUAAAACUGAAAGCAGGAACUCCAAAGAGUUCCAGUGCCAGUUGGUGGAAAGCGAGAGCGACAGAGGCAGUAAGAAGUCACCGCCGUGCCCUGGGGUGAAAACCCUCCAUGUGCUGGGAUCCUCAUCUACCACUGUUCCUCUCAAACUCUCCCUAAACAUCCACAAAAAGCCUUCCACAAAUGGCUCACCCUCAACACAUACUGAGGAAGUCGCCAAAAAGCCAAAGACUAAAACCCCAUACAAAACUAGCAGACACCACUCCCCUGCAAUGUCAGUGUCUCCUGUUGUCAAAGAGAGGCAGAGGAACGGUGUGAAACACAAGCAAAAAAUUCAACCCCUAAAAGUCAGAUUGAAAAAGCUGUCCUUACCCAAACAUCUUGUCAGGAAAGGUUCCCCACCAAGGCAGAAGAGGGUGGAGGAUAGAGGAGACCCUCUGAGUUUAGGGGUAAUGGUCUCUAAGAAUCCUGACUCGUGCAAGAAACUAAAACGUAAGGCAGAGAGCGACUUGACAUCCCAACAGAUGUUGUCAAAGAUUCCAAAGGUGUUGAAUAGGAAUGAGACAGGAAAGUUGUCAAAAAGCGAGCGUGAGUGCGACUCGCUGCCCCGCAAGCCAAAGCUGCCAAGAAUUCUGAAGCUUCUAAGAACUCCAGAGGUUUCAAAGGAUGGGAAUGAGAGAGAGAACAGAGAAAAGACAUCUCCCAGUGCUUCACCUGAAUCACAAAUGCUAAACAAACCUGCAAGAGUGGCACACAAGCCCAAACCUUGUAUCAAGCCUGCCAGUCCCAAUGGUUAUAGCCCAGGUAGUCAUGCUUGCUCUAAUCCGGCUAGGAUAUCACAGCAACAUGGCAAUGGACAUUAUGGGGCAAAAGUUACUGCGAGGCAGCAGGUGUUCUCAGAUUGGGAGAGCAGCUUUGUCCCGACUCCAACCCCCCGGACUCGUAGACGAUCAGGGUGUUCUCCAGAGGAAGUGGAAGGUCCACAGGCCAGUCCCAGGUGCAGCUCGGAGACCAGGAUCAUUCGACCCAUUCUAAAACGUGUCGAUUCUCUGCCGAAACCCAAGCGGAAUGUCAGCUUUCUUUUGAAUCCAAUGAACGUGCACUACUUCAAUCCCCGUGAAUAUGAAAAUCACGUAAUGUUCAACAGGUCUUACACAGAUCCGGAAGAUGCACAGCCUUCUGACGAUGAAGAGGAAGAUGCUUCUGUGAACUGCCAGAAUCUGAAGGAACAGUCCCCUCUUAGGGAAGAGAAGCGGCAAGAUCUAGGGGAGCUGAAGCCUGGACCAAGCGCUGCAUGUGAAAAGAGCUUCAAAAGGAAGUGGGAAAUGCAGGAGCCUGCUCCCAUUUUGAUGAAGAAGAGCAUUGUUCAGGCAAAGCGUUUGACAAAGUCUCUCCAUCAUGAACCUCCAAAAGACUCGGCAAGAAAAACUGGAGUUGGUUACAAGUGGUCAGAGAAGCAGAGGAAGAGGCCCAAUGAAACUGAAGGUACAUCGCAGGCUAUGCCAGCCUCACAUGAACUUCCCGUACAUAUUUGCCCAUGGUAGAAGAUGUGAGAAAGUGACUUUUUGGACCAGAAUGCCAAAACAUUCAGGAGAUAGAGGUGCCCAAAGUUGACGAUUUUGCAUACCCUACCGUACAUCCAUGUCUUCAUCACUGGAAAGGUAAACGGUUGAGUUUGAUAUCAUUUAAAAGCUUACAAAAAAGUAUUGGCGAGAGUAUGCUGUGUCUCAACCGAUGGUGGUCACAACAU
ensembl:lncRNA